rnacentral:rRNA from 1 species
UGCUGGAGGUAUCAGAAGUGCGAAUGCUGACAUAAGUAACGAUAAAGCGGGUGAAAAGCCCGCUCGCCGGAAGACCAAGGGUUCCUGUCCAACGUUAAUCGGGGCAGGGUGAGUCGACCCCUAAGGCGAGGCCGAAAGGCGUAGUCGAUGGGAAACAGGUUAAUAUUCCUGUACUUGGUGUUACUGCGAAGGGGGGACGGAGAAGGCUAUGUUAGCCGGGCGACGGUUGUCCCGGUUUAAGCAUGUAGGCGGAGGUUCCAGGUAAAUCCGGUACCUUUUAACGCUGAGGUGUGAUGACGAGGCACUACGGUGCUGAAGUAACAAAUGCCCUGCUUCCAGGAAAAGCCUCUAAGCAUCAGGUAACAUCAAAUCGUACCCCAAACCGACACAGGUGGUCAGGUAGAGAAUACCAAGGCGCUUGAGAGAACUCGGGUGAAGGAACUAGGCAAAAUGGUGCCGUAACUUCGGGAGAAGGCACGCUGAUAUGUAGGUGAAGCCCCUGCGGGUGGAGCUGAAAUCAGUCGAAGAUACCAGCUGGCUGCAACUGUUUAUUAAAAACACAGCACUGUGCAAACACGAAAGUGGACGUAUACGGUGUGACGCCUGCCCGGUGCCGGAAGGUUAAUUGAUGGGGUUAGCGGCAACGCGAAGCUCUUGAUCGAAGCCCCGGUAAACGGCGGCCGUAACUAUAACGGUCCUAAGGUAGCGAAAUUCCUUGUCGGGUAAGUUCCGACCUGCACGAAUGGCGUAAUGAUGGCCAGGCUGUCUCCACCCGAGACUCAGUGAAAUUGAACUCGCUGUGAAGAUGCAGUGUACCCGCGGCAAGACGGAAAGACCCCGUGAACCUUUACUAUAGCUUGACACUGAACACUGGUCCUUGAUGUGUAGGAUAGGUGGGAGGCUUUGAAGCGUGGACGCCAGUCUGCGUGGAGCCGCCCUUGAAAUACCACCCUUUAAUGGCUGGUGUUCUAACGUAGACCCGUAAUCCGGGUUGCGGACAGUGUCUGGUGGGUAGUUUGACUGGGGCGGUCUCCUCCCAAAGAGUAACGGAGGAGCACGAAGGUUGGCUAAUCCUGGUCGGACAUCAGGAGGUUAGUGCAAUGGCAUAAGCCAGCUUGACUGCGAGCGUGACGGCGCGAGCAGGUGCGAAAGCAGGUCAUAGUGAUCCGGUGGUUCUGAAUGGAAGGGCCAUCGCUCAACGGAUAAAAGGUACUCCGGGGAUAACAGGCUGAUACCGCCCAAGAGUUCAUAUCGACGGCGGUGUUUGGCACCUCGAUGUCGGCUCAUCACAUCCUGGGGCUGAAGUAGGUCCCAAGGGUAUGGCUGUUCGCCAUUUAAAGUGGUACGCGAGCUGGGUUUAGAACGUCGUGAGACAGUUCGGUCCCUAUCUGCCGUGGGCGCUGGAGAAUUGAGGGGGGCUGCUCCUAGUACGAGAGGACCGGAGUGGACGCAUCACUGGUGUUCGGGUUGUCAUGCCAAUGGCACUGCCCGGUAGCUAAAUGCGGAAGAGAUAAGUGCUGAAAGCAUCUAAGCACGAAACUUGCCCCGAGAUGAGUUCUCCCUGA